rnacentral:tRNA from 1 species
GCCUGGGUGGCUCAGCCGGUUGAGUGUUUGACUUGAUUUCAGCUCAGGUCAUGAUAUCAGAGUGCAUGGGUUCAAGUCCUAUAUCAGGCU